CAGGCUGUACAGAAGACAUGGCUGGGGAGGCCUCAGAAAACUUACAAUCAUGGCAGACGGUGAAGGGGAAGCCAGCACAUCUUUACAUGAUGGCAGGAACUUUAAAAGUUAGCCCCAAGAAUGAAAUUGUGUCCUUUGCCAAAACAUGGAUGGAGCUAGAGGCCAUUAUCCUAAGGUGCUCUAUGCUUAGCCCAUCAUAGAUUGUGCCCCUUCAUUCCUGCAUUUGAUUAAUCCAGGGAACCCUCUCUGCAACACCCUUGGCCUCUCUGCGACUUUCUAACAUCAAGCAGAGUCAGAGGCACCAUCCCCAGAAGCUACAAAUCUUCGGCAUUCUUCACCCUGUGCAGUCAGAGAAAUGGAGGGACCAUAGCUCUGAGCUCAUUGGCAAAUACAACUAAUUUCAAUUUCUGGAAUGGAAGCAGUCAGAUAUUCUUCUAACUGCGUGCGUAUGUGGGAGUGCCAUGUCGAAGAGUGGAAAAUAUGGAAGAUCAGUCCCUACAAACUUCAUAGGAGAAUGACAUUCAGAUUUCCCCAGUAUUUUGCAUGUCCAGCUGAAAACUGAAGUAGGUUUAUGAGAAAAUGCAUGCCUACCUGGAUGGGUCUGGGGAGUGUGUCGCUGCCACCACAGAUAAUUGACAAGGGCUGAUCAAAUAGUGAUGCUUUCAAGUCUGUCUCCAAAGCCCCAGAAAAAUCUGAUGCAGGGGACAGCCUUCUUAUGAGAAAGGGCCAGGACAGCACCUUCUUUCUCUUCUUAACUUCUGCAGCCAAGAAAACAAGGCAGCGAGAAAAAUUAGACUACAGUGUUAAUACGCAAAGAUCCAGGUAAGAAAAUGGGUAUCGUUGGCCACAUAAUGUGGUCGAUAGUAUAUGCCAUGUGAGAAAAAUAAUUUUGAAAACUUAAGAAAGCAAAGGGCGUGAAUCUUAAUCUAGAAAAACCAACCGAUAAACAACCACACUGUUACCAGGGCAACCAGUUCCCUAAACAGCAACACCAGGGUUCCUCAGAGCCUCCACCUUUCCUGUUUUCACUCUUUCCAGUUGUUUGCUACAGAAAAUUAGCAAAACCUAACUGUGCAGAUCAUAAACAACCAUCUUAACCUACUGGCCUGAAUAACUAUAGAGGAAAUUUCUGAUAUGAAAUAGAUUAUUUUGAUUUCCUCCUUUAAUUGGCGAAGAAAACGAAACUUAAAAGGUGAGGAAGUGACUUGCUCAGUAUCUCUUCGAAGGCACAUAGCAGGGCCGGCUCCAACCCUUUGGAGCCUCGCAGGCACUGCAUAGCCACUAGAGGGAGCUAACACCAUUCUUCCUUCCGGGUGACUGGUCACCUGGGUUUUCCAGGUCGCUGCUUUAGGACAGAGGCAAAUACGAAUCGCGGCAGGAAGGUCUGAACCUACAUCUGGCAACUGGAAAUUAUCAGCAAAAUGUUAUCAAGAUAUUCUGUCCUUCCGGAAUCCACAAGAUGUGUGUGCAAUGGAUAUUGCAAUCUCAAAAGUUUCCCUCUUUCUUUUCUUUUCCUUCCUUCCUUCUCCUUUUUUUUUUUUUAACUAAUUAUAAAGGCUAUAUUUUCUAAAUGCA